CGCUUCCUUAGCUCAGUUGGUUAGAGCAUCUGACUGUUAAUCAGGGGGUCCUUGGUUCAAGCCCAAGAGGGAGCGCAAC
rnacentral:tRNA from 1 species